ACGAACGCUGGCGGCGUGCCUAAUACAUGCACGUUGAGCGCUGAAGGUUGGUACUUGUACCGACUGGAUGAGCAGCGAACGGGUGAGUAACGCGUGGGGAAUCUGCCUUUGAGCGGGGGACAACAUUUGGAAACGAAUGCUAAUACCGCAUAAAAACUUUAAACACAAGUUUUAAGUUUGAAAGAUGCAAUUGCAUCACUCAAAGAUGAUCCCGCGUUGUAUUAGCUAGUUGGUGAGGUAAAGGCUCACCAAGGCGAUGAUACAUAGCCGACCUGAGAGGGGUAUCGGCCACAAUGGGGCUGGGACACGGCCCAAACUCCUACGGGAGGCAGCAGGAGGGAAACUUCGGCAAUGGACGAAAGUCUGACCGAGCAACGCCGCGUGAGUGAAGAAGGUUUUCGGAUCGUAAAACUCUGUUGGUAGGGAAGAACGUUGGUGAGAGUGGAAAGCUCAUCAAGUGACGGUAACUACCCAGAAAGGGACGGCUAACUACGUG
rnacentral:rRNA from 1 species